rnacentral:rRNA from 1 species
AGUGAACGCUGGCGGCGUGCCUAACACAUGCAAGUCGAGCGGCAGCACAGUAAGAGCGUGCUCUUACGGUUGGCGAGGGGCGGGCGGGUGAGGAAUACAUCGGAAUCUACUUUUUCGGGGGGGAUAACGUAGGGAAACUUACGCUAAUAGCGGAUACUAUCUACGGGAUGAAUCAGAGGUGCAUCGCAGCUUUCGCGUCUCAAUUAGACGAAUCCGGGUUGCAUUAGCUAGUUGGUAAGGUAACGGCACACCAAGGCUACGAUGCAUAGCCGAGCUGAGAGGGUGAUCGGCCACACUGGAACUGAGACACGGUCCAGACUCCUACGGGAGGCAGCAGUGGGGAAUCUUCGGCAAUGGGCGCAAGCCUGAUCCAGCCAUACCGCGUGGGUGAAGAAGGUCUUCGGGUUGUAAAGCUCUUUUGUUGGGAAAGAAAAGCUGCGUGUUAAUCCCCCGCUGUCCUGACGGUACCCAAAGAAUAAGCCCCGGCUAACUUCGUG